UCCUCGAUAGCUCAAUUCGGCAGAGCGGGCGGCUGUUAACCGCUAGGUUCCUGGUUCGAGUCCAGGUCGAGGAGCAA
rnacentral:tRNA from 1 species